rnacentral:rRNA from 1 species
GUGGGGAAUCUUAGACAAUGGGGGAAAACCUGAUCUAGCCAUGCCGCGUGAUCGAUGAAGGCCUUAGGGUUGUAAAGAUCUUUCAGCUGGGAAGAUAAUGACGGUACCAGCAGAAGAAGCCCCGGCUAACUCCGUGCCAGCAGCCGCGGUAAUACGGAGGGGGCUAGCGUUGUUCGGAAUUACUGGGCGUAAAGCGCACGUAGGCGGAUUGGAAAGUUGGGGGUGAAAUCCCGGGGCUCAACCCCGGAACUUCCUUCAAAACUCCCAGUAUUGAGGUCGAGAGAGGUGAGUGGAAUUCCGAGUGUAGAGGUGAAAUUCGUAGAUAUUCGGAGGAACACCAGUGGCGAAGGCGGCUCACUGGCUCGAUACUGACGCUGAGGUGCGAAAGCGUGGGGAGCAAACAGGAUUAGAAACCCUGGUAGUCC